rnacentral:rRNA from 1 species
AUUGAACGCUGGCGGAAUGCUUUACGCAUGCAAGUCGAACGGCAGCACGGACUUCGGUCUGGUGGCGAGUGGCGAACGGGUGAGUAAUGUAUCGGAACGUGCCCAGUGGUGGGGGAUAACGUAGUGAAAAUUACGCUAAUACCGCAUACGAUCUAUGGAUGAAAGCGGGGGAUCGCAAGACCUCGCGCGAUUGGAGCGGCCGAUAUCAGAUUAGGUAGUUGGUGGGGUAAAGGCCCACCAAGCAAACGAUCUGUAGCUGGUCUGAGAGGACGACCAGCCACACUGGAACUGAGACACGGUCCAGACUCCUACGGGAGGCAGCAGUGGGGAAUUUUGGACAAUGGGCGAAAGCCUGAUCCAGCCAUUCCGCGUGCAGGAUGAAGGCCCUCGGGUUGUAAACUGCUUUUGUACAGAACGAAAAGGUUUCUACUAAUACUAGGAGCUCAUGACGGUACUGUAAGAAUAAGCACCGGCUAACUACUUGCCAGCCGCCGCCGUAA